AACAAAACAUUUGACUCUUGGGAAAAGCAAAACCAGUGCCCUCUGAUGCCUUCAUGCAUUAUGAGACUUGGACCUGACUACAGAUUAUUAUACACCGAUAAAGACCAAUGCUCCAGUUGUACGGUUGGUCUUUCCAGGCGUGUUUAACACUGAGGAAAGCCUGAACACCGAAAUGCUCUCUCUCUGCUGGGUGUUGGAAAAACAGAAUAGAGCAGCAAGAGUGCAGCAGCAUCCCACCACCAGCCACAGGGUUGUCUUUAAAACAGGACUGGACUGAGUGGUACCAUAAGCAAGAGCCACAGGCAGAGGGGAGUUUGCCAGAACCUGUUAGAGCCCUGAUGGGUGACUGUGGUUCAAUGUGAAUUACAGCAUCAGACACCUGUUUGCCAGGGCAAUUGUGCAAGGAGAGAGCCUGUCUCUACAGCCAACGUGGAGAUGGUGAAUGAAAAUGACCAAACAGCAAAAGCCUUUCUCAGCCUGCAUGCGCAGAUGUGUUGAGGUGCCCAGUGCGCCCAAGCAGCGCAGAUUCAAAAUGUCUGGCAAUAAGAAUCAAGUUGAUGUUCAAGAGAUGAACAUAUAAAAUAAAUGAAAAUUUGUAUGACUUAGUUCUGCUGAACUUGUGGGAGAUUAAAAAAUUGAAUUUCAAGUGAGAUACAGCUUCUGCAAACAGUCUAAACAUUGGAAAACAGAUCAUUCCUGCUCCCAGCACUUUCACAGCCGGAUGAGAAGAGAUCUGGGAACACUCUCUGUACUCUCUGUUCAUUGGUUGUAGCAUCUCUGGUGCUGUGGAAGUUCACAUCUGUGAUCUUUCAGCAAAUUCUCUCUGUGACACACGGCAGCUUGAGGGAUGUCCAAGUGAUGUAAGUCUCAAGAGCAGCAUGAACAUAUAUAAAGACAAAGAUAUAAAGCUCUUGGAGAGUGUCCAAAGGAGGGCAAGGAAGAUGGUGAAGGGCCUGCAGAGGAAGCUGCUGUGGUCACUUGGUCUGUUCAGCCUGGAGAAGAGGAGACUGAGGACAGAUACACCUUCCUCGUGAGGGGAGGAGCAGGGGCAGGCACUGAUCUCUCCUCUGUGGUGACAGGACCUGGGGAAACAGCACAAAGCUGAGUCAGGGAAGGUUUAAGGUCAGUAUCAGGAAAAGGUUCUUCACACAGAAGGUGGCUGGGAGCUGGUCAUGGCAUCAAAACAGAGUUCAAUAAAUAUUUGGACAACGCUCUCAGGGCACAUGGUGUGAUUCUUGGGACUGUUGGGCACAGGGCCAAAAGUUGGACUUCAGUGUUCCUUGUGGGUCCUUUCCAACUCAGUAUAUUCUAUGAUUCUAUGAUUAGCAUUAACUAGCUGCCACUGUACAGCAAGCAUGGAAACCAAGGGUAGGAAUCCUCCCUAUUAUUGCUUCCAUUUUAUUGUUACCUCUUGGUUUCACACUAACUUCU